CCAGGUGAAGCAUAUGCCCUGCAAGCUUAGGGGUGCUGCAGUUGACCACUGCAGCAGUAAAGAUGACUGAAGAAUGGCAUGGGAUGGAUCCUUUCGAAUGCACUUGAGCAGCAGUCUCCCAACCACAGGGCCACAGAGCCAGAGCUGGAUCUACCAUGAAAGACUUCUGAAUCCAGGAAAAGAGACUGACUGGGUAACAUGUUAUUCAGGAGAUGGGGUCUCACCCUGUCACCCAGGCUUGAGUACAGU